GGAGAUCGGGCAGGGCCACGCCUUGUUGAAUGAUCGUGAUAUGUUGGUGGUUUGCCCCGUCCGUGUCGUUUGAGGACCGUACCUUUGUGGCACACUAAUCGGGGAUUGAACAAUAGUAAUUCACAUGAUGGGAGUAGGAGGUAGUGGAAACCGGUAAGCUUAGUACUUGAUUCGCUACGGGGUGUGAACUCCUACCCACCACCUUUGGGCAGUUGGUGUAACCACGAAGCACAGGUGCAUCUGGGGUCUUACGUAGGGCCCAAGUUGGCUGUGGUUUGGUGGGGUAGUUCAGACGUUCGAGGGCGAAGCUGGGAACGGACUGAUGUUGGUGGCCUUUAUGGUGCCUGUGUGUGUGAUUUGGUUUACCUUGCAAGGGAUAAAAUCGAAUCGAUUCAUUGUGACUCGUGGAUACGAGAGCCUUGAUCUUUCUGUCUCAUCGUAGUAAAGAAGUGGAACAUGAUGAUGAUGAUGGUUAUUAAUGUUACUUACCUAAUAAAUUGUUUACUACACUGAAUUGUUGUGUUUAUGCAAAUCUAGAGAAUAGUUUCCCUCAUUUAAAAUUUGGCUAAAAUACUAAAAGCAAGGACUCACUCUUAGUUGCUCUUUGGCAAAAUAAACCCAACAACCAAAAAGCCUUGCAUACUAGGAGUCGGCUAAGUAUAUAUCAUAGUCGGUAAGCCUUGCUGAGUAUUAGUCUACUCAGGGUUGUGGUUGUGACCCUAUUUCAGGUGGAGUUGCUUCGUUUUGAUGGCACAUCAGUGGGCUCAGUGUGUUAUCCUCAGGUCGUCGACAUUUCUAGCUUCAGUCAAUCUUAUUUUAUCCCAGGUUCAGUUUUCUUUCCGCAUUGCUAUUUUAAAC
rnacentral:lncRNA from 1 species